CCUACGGGCGGCAGCAGUGGGGAAUAUUGGACAAUGGGCGAAAGCCUGAUCCAGCCAUGCCGCGUGUGUGAAGAAGGCCUUCGGGUUGUAAAGCACUUUCAGUGGGGAAGAAAGCCUUGGGGCUAAUACCCUCGAGGAAGGACAUCACCCACAGAAGAAGCACCGGCUAACUCCGUGCCAGCAGCCGCGGUAAUACGGAGGGUGCGAGCGUUAAUCGGAAUUACUGGGCGUAAAGCGCGCGUAGGCGGUCUGAUAAGCCGGUUGUGAAAGCCCCGGGCUCAACCUGGGAACGGCAUCCGGAACUGUCAGGCUAGAGUGCAGGAGAGGAAGGUAGAAUUCCCAGUGUAGCGGUGAAAUGCGUAGAGAUCGGGAGGAAUACCAGUGGCGAAGGCGGCCUUCUGGACUGACACUGACGCUGAGGUGCGAAAGCGUGGGUAGCAAACAGGAUUAGAUACCCCAGUAGUC
rnacentral:rRNA from 1 species